rnacentral:rRNA from 1 species
AUCUUGGGAAAUUUCAUCGUGAUGGGGAUAGAUCAUUGCAAUUGUUGGUCUUCAACGAGGAAUGCCUAGUAAGCGCGAGUCAUCAGCUCGCGUUGACUACGUCCCUGCCCUUUGUACACACCGCCCGUCGCUCCUACCGAUUGAAUGGUCCGGUGAAGUGUUCGGAUCGCGGCGACGGUGGCGGUUCGCCGCCCCCGACGUCGCGAGAAGUCCAUUGAACCUUAUCAUUUAGAGGAAGGAGAAGUCGUAACAAGGUUUCCGUAGGUGAACCUGCGGAAGGAUCAUUG